rnacentral:rRNA from 1 species
GAUGAACGCUAGCGGCAGGCUUAAUACAUGCAAGUCGAGGGACAGCACAGGUAGCAAUACUGGGUGGUAACCGGCAAACGGGUGCGGAACACGUACACAACCUUCCUUUAAGAGGGGGAUAGCCCAGAGAGAUUUGGAUUAAUACCCCGUAAUAUAGUUGAAUGGCAUCAUUUGAUUAUUAUAGCUACGGCGCUUAAUGAUGGGUGUGCGGCUGAUUAGAUAGUUGGCGGGGUAACGGCCCACCAAGUCUACGAUCAGUAGCUGAUGUGAGGGCAUGAUCAGCCACGCGGGCACUGAGACACGGGCCCGACUCCUACGGGAGGCAGCAGUAAGGAAUAUUGGUCAAUGGACGCAAGUCUGAACCAGCCAUGCCGCGUGAAGGAUUAAGGUCCUCUGGAUUGUAAACUUCUUUUAUUUGGGACGAAAAAGGGCCUUUCUAGGUCAACUGACGGUACCAGAUGAAUAAGCACCGGCUAACUCCGUGCCAGCCGCCGCCGUAAAAC